AUUGCACAUAAAAUUUAAUAAAAAAUCCUUAAAAAAAUCAGUAAUUUGUGACAAAUUGACACAAUUAAUAAACAUGUGUUCUAAAUCUUCUCUAGAUUGUGCACACACUGGACAAGUGUCAUUAUCAGUCAUGUUACAUUUUAAAAGUUUAACUUUAGUAAACAAAGUUCUAUGAAGUACUUGAAAAUUAAGUGUCCUGCAUUCACC
rnacentral:lncRNA from 1 species